UACGAAGGGGGCUAGCGUUGCUCGGAAUUACUGGGCGUAAAGGGCGCGUAGGCGGCGCUGCAAGUCAGGCGUGAAAUUCCUGGGCUUAACCUGGGGGCUGCGCUUGAUACUGAUUGGCUUGAAUGCGGGAGAGGAUAGUGGAAUUCCCAGUGUAGAGGUGAAAUUCGUAGAUAUUGGGAAGAACACCGGUGGCGAAGGCGGCUAUCUGGCCCGUAAUUGACGCUGAGGCGCGAAAGCGUGGGGAGCAAACAGG
rnacentral:rRNA from 1 species